rnacentral:lncRNA from 1 species
UAUUAUUAUUAUUUUCAAACAAUAUUGUAAUGGCCCAAUUUGGCCUGGCCCAUAUUACAAACAAAUAAAACAAAAAUAAACCAAAAAAUAAAGACCAAGUCAGAAAACAGCCUAUUUACAAUAUGACCCAAUGGCCCAAGUAAAUAAAAAACUCUAAUUGCCCAAAUGACCCAAAAAAACCUAAACAUCUUCAAUAAACAAAAGAAACCCUCGCCUCCUUUGUGCGCCGCACCCCCUCCACGUGCCGCGUCAGCGCCCCAUCGCCCGAGGACUGCCUCCCUUGCACCAAAAUGGCAAGGGUCAGCCUUUCUCCUCCAUUGACCUUACCUGCAAGAACAAAAAAUAGAAACGAAAGCAAGCAAAACAGAAGCAAUACAGAUAUCAGAGAAGCAGCAAAAAUAGUAGUGAAAAAAGCAUAAAAUAUUGUAUCUAUUCGGCUAUAAAAGCCAGAAACAUAUCAAUGUAAUUUUUUAUACGGAGAUAUAUAUACACAAAAAAAAAAAAGCUUUUGAAAUCGAUUAAAUAUUGCAAGGUGCUUCAUCCUCAUCUUUAAUUUUUUUUUCUUUUCUUCCAGAAAUAAAUAAAUAAUAAAAACAAAAAAGGGAACUUUUUCACCUAUUGUUCCAUCGUUGAAGCCACCGUCAAUUUGCGAGGUUGUCGGAUCCUUUAGGAUUCGGCCAAAGGCCGCAGCGGAAGUUGAGGAGUUUUUGUUGUUUUUUUAUUUUAUUUUGGCUUUAUUUUUUUGCCAAUUUCAAGUCCAAAAAGGGGUUUUAUGCAAAAAUAAAAUAAAAAUAAUAGGGGUUUGGGUGAUUUUUCGGCUACUGUGGACGGCGGCGCCUUCACCGGUGACCGAUGGCCAACACAGUGGCGACUUGCCGGACCGACGGUUGGCCAAGGAUUGGUUCAGAGAAAAAAUAGAGAGCUUUGGUUUCUUUCUUCUUCUUUUUUUAACUAUUUUGAAAUGAAAUUUUUUUGAAAAAAAUUUCACUUAUAUAGGCUCCAAAAACGGCGUCAUUUUGGGACUAGCCUCAAACGCCCAAAACGGCGUCGUUCUACCCUCGACCCGCACCUUGACCUGAUCCGCCCAGUGGAUCCGCAUGUUUUUUUUUGCUAAUGGUCUAUUUGCGCGAUAGGCCAUUUUGCUUUUCCGCCCUGUUUCAAUUUAAUCCUGUUUCUUUUUUUUCUUUUUUUUACCAUGUGAUUUUGGCUUUGUUUCAUUUUAGUCCAACAUGAAACUGUGCGUUUGUAAGACUGGAAAUAAUUUCCCAUUUAAUCCCUCCUCCUUUGCACACGUUUCGUUUUGGUCCUAACACCAGUUUUUUUUUCCUUUUUUAAAAUUAUCCAUUUAAGUUUAUUUUUUUAUUUCGGUCCUUUAACCAUUUAGUCCCUUAUUAUUUAUAUUUUUUAUUUUAAAUACUUUUGUAUUUUUAUUUUAGUAUUUUAUUUACUUCUUUUAUAUAGUUUUACGCUUUUAAGUUCAUUUUAAUCCCGAUUUAGUCAUUUAUUUAAUCUCAGCCCUUUUUUAUGGAUUUUUUUAUCUUAUUAUUAUUUGUUUAUUUAUCCAUUAAUUUUUAUUGUCUUGCCUUUUUUUAUUUUUAAAACUUAUUCUAUUUAUAUUUGUACAUAUUAUUAUAUUGUCAUCUCAUUUUAUUUUAUUUUAUUUUAUUUUCAUUUCAUUUUAUGUGUUAUUUUAUGGUUCCCUUUUAUUUUGGUAUUUUUGAGUCGCGACUUUCCAUUCACGUUAUUUCGUUUAUUUUAUUUUACGCUACUUCUGCUAUUUAUUUAGAUUAUGAUAUUAUUAUUAAAGUACACCCUUAGUCAUUUAUGUUUUAUCAUUCCAAUAUUCUAUCUAUAUAGUCAUUUUAUAUUGAUUCAUCAAUCACUACAUCAUAUGUUAUAUUUAGAUAUAAUUAGUUGUUUUUAUGUUAUACCCCAAAAUAAGAGAAAUACACAUCGUUUAAAUAUUAUACUUGUUAUUAGUAAAAAAAAUUCAAAAUAAAGCAAUAUUCCGUAUUUGGAGAUUCGAGAAGCCGUACCCUAACUUACGGGGUUUUGAUUUUUCUCGUUGAAC